AUUGAACGCUGGCGGCAGGCCUAACACAUGCAAGUCGAGCGAGCGGCGGACGGGUGAGUAAUGUAUGGGGACUGACCGAUAGAGGGGGAUAACUACUGGAAACGGUGGCUAAUACCGCAUACUAUCGGAUGAACCAUAUGGGAUUGGCUAGUAGGUGGGGUAAAGUCUCACCUAGGCGACGCUCUCUAGCUGGUCUGAGAGGAUGAUCAGCCACACUUGGUCUAUGACCCUGACCAGACUCCUAUGGAGGCAUAAGUGGGGAAUAUUGCACCAGGGUCGCAAGCCUGAUUCAGCCAUGCCGCGUGUAUGAAGAAGGCCUUAGGGUUGUAAAGUUCUUUCAGCGGGGAGGCGUUACCCGCAGAAGAAGCACCGGCUAACGCCGGGCCAGCAGCCGCGGUAAUAC
rnacentral:rRNA from 1 species